rnacentral:lncRNA from 1 species
GCCAGUCCUGGUGUCUGAGUGAUUCCCAGGGCCCAGCAAAGGGACCAAGUUUCCAGGUCAGCGACAUUGGAUGCCUUCCCUCUGCCUCUGGGAGCUAUGGGUUGGCAUGCAUUGGGGUAGAGAUCCAAUCUGGCCUGAGGCUCACUCAGGACUUCGGGGUGAGAGGAGGGGAGGAGCUGAGCUGCCUUGGCUAAUGGGGUUGAAAUUUCUGAUCUUAAACUCUCCACUGAAUAUUCUCUCAGAGCCCUGAAGACAAGGGGUAACACUCCAAAAUAUGGACUCAUUUUCCACUCCACCUUCAUUGGCCGAGCAGCUGCCAAGAACAAAGGCCGCAUCUCCCGAUACCUGGCAAACAAAUGCAGUAUUGCCUCACGAAUCGAUUGCUUCUCUGAGGUGCCCACGAGUGUAUUCGGGGAGAAGCUUCGAGAACAAGUUGAAGAGCGACUGUCCUUCUAUGAGACUGGAGAGAUACCACGAAAGAAUCUGGAUGUCAUGAAGGAAGCAAUGGUUCAGGCAGAGGAAGCGGCUGCUGAGAUUACUAGGAAGCUGGAGAAACAGGAGAAGAAACGCUUAAAGAAGGAAAAGAAACGGCUGGCUGCACUUGCCCUCGCGUCUUCAGAAAACAGCAGUAGUACUCCAGAGGAGUGUGAG